rnacentral:rRNA from 1 species
AUUGAACGCUGGCGGCAUGCCUAACACAUGCAAGUCGAACGGAUGGCGGACGGGUUAGUAAUGUAUGGGCACCGGCCCGAUGGAUGGGUACAACAACUGGAAACGGAUGCCAAUACCGCCUAGCACCAGCUGUGUCGAGAUGGGAUUAGCUUGUUGGUGGGGUACCGGCUCACCAAGGCGACGAUCCCUAGCUGGUCUGAGAGGAUGACCAGCCACACUGGAACUGAGACACGGCCCAGACUCCUACGGGAGGCAGCAGUGGGGAAUUUUGCACAAUGGGCGAAAGCCUGAUGCAGCCAUGCCGCGUGUGUGAAGAAGGCCUUCGGGUUGUAAAGUACUUUCAGCGGGAAGGCGUUACCCGCAGAAGAAGCACCGGCUAACUCCGUGCCAGCAGCCGCGGUAAUAC